AAUCCGGCACAGUAAUAGGUUGUCGGUCAAACAAAGAGGUCGCUAGUUCGUUCGUGCCUACAUUUACUGCCCUUCUUUGACAAUCAGCGAUUUCCUGACUGGAUGACCUUCUUUCGUAUCGCCAUCUCCUCAGCUUGGUGGACUAACUUUUGGUUCUUCGUAUGAUUGUAACCAUUGAUCUUUUGAUCCAUAUGUAGACAAGCCAUCGCUAACAAAAAUCUGGGAAAAUGGACAGUGUUUGUUGUGAUUGAAAACCUGGGAAGUGGAGGUAGUGUCAGGCCUAGUCCUACUACUGUUAAUGUAUUUAUAUGGUGUAUUGAAACUUAGACCAUUAAGUGCACUAUACAUAAAUAUUAGUUAAUUAUACUAGUUAAUAAAUUGACUAUUAACUGGGUAUCCUAAGUAGCCUGCCAAGUUUUAAGAGGACAUCAUGAAGAAUCAAAGUAAAUUUUUAUUUAUUAUUUUUUUUACAUAUCUUGCUUGAAAUUUGUGCCACUAUUAAGAUUACAAUCAAAACCAUGCUUUUAAGAUUAUAAUUUUACACACAAUCUAACCAAAAGAUAUUAAAUAGAACUAGCUCUUGUCAUUACUGUUAACUUUUCAAUCAGACUAUUAUGCUUUAUGAAAACAAAUUGAAGUUAAAAAUAAAACAAAAUUUGUUUUUUAACUUCAAAAUUUUUCCUUAAAUUUUUGUGCACCAAAGUCAGAUAUUUAGCAAAUUCCUAUUGUCUAAUACUUAGAUUUAAGAAUUGAAGAAUGUAAACAAAAAGCUAGGAUUUAAUCAGAAUUUGACUUCAUUAAUAAAUUAUAAUAAUUUUUUCAUGCUAGAGAAGAUUGAAUAUCUAAAAAGUAACUUUAACUUUACAAUUGUUUAAUAAUCUUAUUAUUUCUAUGUUCCACUAUAUUACUAAACAUUUAUUGUUAACUGAAGAAUUCUUAAUUUUAUAUUUUCUGAGAGAUUUAUUCUUGUUUUAAUAAAAACUUUCAUACUUUGCUGUAAAUUUUAAAAUCAAGUAAUUGAUGAUGAUGCUAUCAGCACAAGCAUUUUUUUUGUUAGCAUCU
rnacentral:misc_RNA from 1 species